UCCUUAGAUGUUCUGGGCCGCACGCGCGCUACACUGAACAGUUCAACAAGUCUUAACCUUGGCCGAUAGGUCUGGGUAAUCUUUGAACGCUGUUCGUGAUUGGGAUAGACCUUUGCAAUUAUGGGUCUUCAACGAGGAAUUCCUAGUAAACGCAAGUCAUCAGCUUGCAUUGAUUACGUCCCUGCCCUUUGUACACACCGCCCGUCGCACCUACCGAUUGAAUGGUCCGGUGAAAUCUCGGGACGGCGGCUUGGUCGCUUGCGUCCGACUGCUGAAACUUGAUUAAACCAUAUCAUUUAGAGGAAGGUGAAGUCGUAACA
rnacentral:rRNA from 1 species